rnacentral:rRNA from 1 species
GACGAACGCAGGCGGCGUGCUUAACACAUGCAAGUCGAACGAAGAGCAAUGGAAGCAUGCUUCUAUCAAUCUUAGUGGCGAACGGGUGAGUAACGCGUAAUCAACCUGCCCUUCAGAGGGGGACAACAGUUGGAAACGACUGCUAAUACCGCAUACGAUCUAAUCUCGGCAUCGAGGAUGGAUGAAAGGUGGCCUCUAUUUAUAAGCUAUCACUGAAGGAGGGGAUUGCGUCUGAUUAGCUAGUUGGAGGGGUAACGGCCCACCAAGGCGAUGAUCAGUAGCCGGUCUGAGAGGAUGAACGGCCACAUUGGGACUGAGACACGGCCCAGACUCCUACGGGAGGCAGCAGUGGGGAAUCUUCCGCAGUGGACGAAAGUCUGACGGAGCAACGCCGCGUGAGUGAUGACGGCCUUCGGGUUGUAAAGCUCUGUUAAUCACGGACGAACGGCCUUCUUGCGAAUAGAUAGAAGGAUUGACGGUACCGGAAUAGACAGCCACGGCUAACUACGUGCCAGCAUCCGCGGUAAUACGUAGGUGGCAAGCGUUGUCCGGAAUUAUUGGG